UACGUAGGUGGCAAGCGUUGUCCGGAUUUACUGGGCGUAAAGGGCGCGUAGGCGGCGUGACAAGUCACUUGUGAAAUCUCCGGGCUUAACCCGGAGCGGCCAAGUGAUACUGUCGUGCUAGAGUGCGGAAGGGGCUACUGGAAUUCUCGGUGUAGCGGUGAAAUGCGUAGAUAUCGAGAGGAACACCUGCGGCGAAGGCGGGUAGCUGGGCCGACACUGACGCUGAGGCGCGAAAGCCAGGGGAGCGAACGGG
rnacentral:rRNA from 1 species